rnacentral:pre_miRNA from 1 species
UCUUAUGCAUGAGCAAAGAAAGUGGUUUCUUCACAUGGAAUCUAUUCCUGGUGAAAAUGCUGUGAA